AAAAAACACAAAUGACCAGUUUCAGAAAUGAAAGGGAAUUCUUUCACUACAAGUACUACAGACAUGCAAGGAUAAUAAAGGAAUAUUUAAACAAGUUUAUGCUAAUAAAUUUGACAAGUUAAAAUGGAAGAUUGUGGCCAGGUGCAGUGGCUCACGCCUGUAAUCCCAGCACUUUGUGGGAGGAUUGCAGGAGUUCAAGACUAGUCUGAGCAACAUGGUGCCAAGACCAGCUCAGUCAUGGAGACCUAACGAAGCGGCACUAGAGGAAUUAAGACAAAGACACAGGAAUACAGUAUAAAGUGGGGAUUAGGGGGCUGACAGCCUUCAGAGCUGAGAGCCACAAACAGAGCUUGACCCACACAUUUAUUGACAGAAAGCCAGUGAUAAGCAUUGCUUCUAUAGAUUGUAGAUUAGCUAAAAGCAUUCUUUAUGGGAAACAAAGCAAUCUCAGUGAGGAGCAGAGAAACAGGCUCUGGCUGAUUAUCUGUAGCAAAAACAUGCUGUCAAGCCACAGGCCUUUCCUGCUAUCGUUUGUGGUUUGAGCAGUUUUUU
rnacentral:lncRNA from 10 species